UGAGACAUCCUGAACUGGACCAAACCGGGCCGAGACAUACUGAACUGGACCAAACCGGACUGAGACAUUCUGAACCGAACAAAACUGGACCGAGACUUCCUGUAAGGGACCAAACUGGACUGAGACAUCCUGAACUGGACCAAACCGGGCCGAGACAUCCUGAACUGGACCAAACCGGGCCGAGACUUCCUGUAAGGGACCAAACUGGACUGAGACAUCCUCAACUGGACCAAACCAGACUGAGACAUCCUGAACUGGACCAAACCGGGCCGAGACAUCCUGAACUGGACUAAACCGGACUGAGACAUCCUGAACUGGACCAAACCGGGCCGAGACAUCCUGAACUGGACCAAACCGGACUGAGACAUUCUGAACCGAACAAAACCGGACCGAGACUUCCUGUAAGGGACCAAACUGGACUGAGACAUCCUGAAUUGGACCAAACCAGACUGAGACAUCCUGAACUGGACCAAACCGGGCCGAGACAUCCUGAACCGGACCAAACCGGACCGAGACUUCCUGUAAGGGACCAAACUGGACCGAGACUUCCUGUAAGGGACCAAACCGGGCCGAGACAUCCUGAACCGGACCAAACCGGACCGAGACAUCCUGUAAGGGACCAAACCGGACCGAGACUUCCUGUAAGGGACCAAACCGGACCGAGACUUCCUGUAAGGGACCAAACCGGACUGAGACACUGCCAUUUGUACCUGCUGGACUGUGUGUGUGAUUUAAAGACCUUGUAAACGUCAGAAGCUGAUUAAUGUGUUUAUGUAGUUGUUAAUGUGUUUUUAUAUCUGUAUGUGUGAACAGCAUUUCCCAGCAUCCUCCUGGCCUCUGGGUGACACUGGAGAUAAAGAAAUGUGACGCCAGGACUCUGCCAAAUGCAGAUGUGGCAGCAGAAUCCGUGUUGACGGGUUCUCACUCCCAGAGCGCCAGAUAGCUUCGCCCAGUAACGUCCUUCAGCGUCACAGUUCAACACAGAAAGUACAGCUACAUAUAAAUCCGAGUAAGGGGGGGCAGAAACCGGACUUUCACCCAGGAGACCGGUGUUCAUUUCCCGUUUGAUACAUUAAGUCUACAUUUUAGUGAUGUUUUCCUGAAUCCUAACCCUAACCGGACCAAACUGCGACCUUUCACAACUUCAUCCACUGGUUUUAUUUUGAAAGGCUAACCGGAUGUUGCACAGUUGUUCUUGCUAACUGCAGCCAAGCUAAUUAUAGUUCAGUUUAUUUGGUUUAGUUACUCACUUGGUUUUGGUCCUGGUUUCGCCUUCCCUCCUCUUUGUGUCUCUGUUUGAAAUGUGGUUCAUGUUAAUUCAGUGAGAAACUCCUGGACUUUAACAGCUCCUGUGUUUCAUGGUCAGAGUCCCUCCCACAGAUCUGUGUUCCACCAUAUGAUGAAGUCCACCCGCCCUUUACUCCGCGCUGCGUUACCGUAUCGAUCCUCUGGUGGUGACGUUACCCCCGUCAGACCGUCAGACCGCCGCAGGUUGGGACUGCACGCUGCACGUGAAACCGACACAGGCAGAAAUCUCUCCACAGAUCCACACAGGUUAACUUCAGCAGCUCACAGUCCCACACAGAGCAGGCUGGCUUCAGCUGGCUGGACUCGCAGCUCGAGCGGCGCGGUUAAAUGCCGGCGUUGCAUCAGCUCGGCGGAGUUGAUUCGCUCUGUGCUGAAGGUUCCUGUACCAAAAAUAUUUUACGGCUCUUCUGUAAAACAGUUGUUUUGUGUUGUGCGUCCUGUUUCUGCCGGUUUUGGAAGUGUUUUAUAUGAUUGUUAUAUUUCUGACAGCAUUUGAAAGCAGCAUCUGUGUGUGUGUAACGUGGUUUGUCCUCACUGUGGUGAGUGUUUGUGUUUGUUGCUGAUAUUAAAGUAUUUUUUAUAUA